AAAAGAAGGCUGGGCCGGCAUUAAGCUGCUAACUUAAGGUCAAGCAGUCCAAAUCUGUUUUUCUUUUU
rnacentral:tRNA from 1 species